ACACAAUGCAUUUUCUUUUCUUAUCACUGAACUGUUUUGAAAGAUAAAAGCUACUUCCUGAAUAUGUGGAUGGUGAGCCACGUGAAUGGAAGACAUGGAGAUACGGACUGUUAACACCUUGUCAAACAUUUAUUGUCCCUUCCACCUCUAAACUUCUAUGAUAAUAGGUGAACAGGACCCACAUGGUGUGGAAUACUGCGAUACACACUGCGGAAUAAUUCAGGGACUGGGAGUUGGAGAGGGGGGACUGGAGAGAAUAGAAAGUGCUCCAGAACUUCUGGACUAGCUUUCAUGAUGGAA
rnacentral:lncRNA from 1 species